CAUUAAAGCGGUACGCGAGCUGGGUUCAGAACGUCGUGAGACAGUUCGGUCCCUAUCCGUCGUGGGCGUAGGAAAUUUGAGAGGAGCUGUCCUUAGUACGAGAGGACCGGGAUGGACAUACCUCUGGUGUACCAGUUGUCGUGCCAACGGCAUAGCUGGGUAGCUAUGUGUGGACGGGAUAAGUGCUGAAAGCAUCUAAGCAUGAAGCCCCCCUCAAGAUGAGAUUUCCCAACUUCGGUUAUAAGAUCCCUCAAAGAUGAUGAGGUUAAUAGGUUCGAGGUGGAAGCAUGGUGACAUGUGGAGCUGACGAAUACUAA
rnacentral:rRNA from 1 species